UACCCACUGUCUUCUUUUGCUGGCCCUUCAUUCAUCAAGUGUUUUUUACUUUUUCACAGCAUGAAAAUCCUUGCUAUUUCCCACUGCAUAAUAGCUUGUGACUUUACAGAAAGGUCAUAUCCUUGCCAUAUCUAAAAUACUGCCAUGCGAACAUAUACCUGUAAGAUGCUGAGUCAAGAUAGAAAAAUGCACAUAUAUUUCCAAGUGUACAUUUUUCCUCAGAAAAAAAGUGUGUCAGCAAACCCACAGGGAACAUGACAGUUUAUCAAAUACUCAUUCAUUUCCUCUGAACUUUGUUCUUACGAGAUAAGGUCAGUAGGGAGACAAGCUUAGGUAGUCGGUUUGGCUGUUACAGGCAGGGAAACUUUGUGGUACUACAUAGGUACAAUAAGUCCACAGAGAAGGGGGCUCCUAUGAAGUCUGCUAUAAAUAGAGGGUUGGAUUUAAGAUAUUAUUUGUGGUAGAAUGGAAACAGAAUUAAAAAUAUGAGAAACAGCUUUAAAAUCUGUUAGGCAUGUUUAGACAUCAGCUUAUGUUUUAUUUGAUUUACUUUAUUGAGUUCAGAAUCCAAAGUCUAUUAAUAAUAAAACCCAGAUUUGCCCUUGAGGAUUUCAAGACUGCAAGAUACAUAGUCUCCCUGUUAGUGGGCUGUAAAUUCUACUUUGUUGCUGAUGUUCGCCCUUGCAGUAAAUGGGAUGCCAUUAUUUUGCAGUUUGUAGCUAGGGGUGAAGUUAAACUACCCAAUUUGGACACUUUCAUAAUUUGGGGGUCAUUGGCUGGAUUUUCAUCACUACAUCAGCUGCCUUUUAAAUGGAUAUUUUUAUGUAGAAAGAUCUAACAAACCUGAUUGGAGAGACAUCAUCCACAUCAUAAGAGACCUGAAUUUGCUUUUCAGCUUUGUCACUGAUUAUCCCUGAGACCUUAGGAUAAAGAACCUUCCAGAAGACUGUGGAAGAGCCAUCUGAGAUCAUAAGUAUUACUCAGUUGUCCCAUACCGGAUGUUGAAGCACAGAGCCCCAUGCUGGAGCUGGAUAUCGGCAAACCGUCUAGUCCUUCCACUCAACACAGAAGUCAUCUGGGACACAGUGACAUUGACACCAUUCUCCAGAAUCCUCCUCCCCCCAGUGUUACCAAUGAGCACCAGAUCUUCCUCCAGAGACCCAAGCUUAAUGAAGUAGACACAGUGAAAGAAUGUGCUAACAAAGGUCAUGUUCAAAAGAGGACUGAAAAAGCACAGGGAGAUACAAAACCUCCUCACCUCUCUGGAAAAGUUACAUGGAAAUGCAUUUAUGGGGACAGAUUGAUGCAGCAGAUGAGAAGAUACAUGGAUUGGACGUAAAAGUAUUUUGCAAGGAAGAUGAUUCAAACACAACUCAGGUUGCGGGGAAAUGGAUUUUUAAAAUAAACGAAAUU